GUUUGAUCCUGGCUCAGAUUGAACGCUGGCGGCAUGCUUUACACAUGCAAGUCGAACGGUAACAGGGAGCUUGCUCCGCUGACGAGUGGCGAACGGGUGAGUAAUGCAUCGGAACGUACCCAGUCGUGGGGGAUAACGUAGCGAAAGUUACGCUAAUACCGCAUACGUCCUGAGGGAGAAAGCGGGGGACCGUAAGGCCUCGCGCGAUUGGAGCGGCCGAUGUCGGAUUAGCUAGUUGGUAGGGUAAAGGCCUACCAAGGCGACGAUCCGUAGCGGGUCUGAGAGGAUGAUCCGCCACACUGGGACUGAGACACGGCCCAGACUCCUACGGGAGGCAGCAGUGGGGAAUUUUGGACAAUGGGCGAAGCCUGAUCCAGCCAUGCCGCGUGAGUGAAGAAGGCC
rnacentral:rRNA from 1 species